UGGAGAGGUGACGGGCGGCUAUGGCAGGAGCUUCUAUAGCCGCCCGUCACCUCUCCAGCAGCCCCGCGCGCUCUCCCGGCUCUUGCCAUAGCCGCCCGUCACCUCUCCA